rnacentral:rRNA from 1 species
CCUACGGGGCGCAGCAGUGGGGGAUAUUGCACAAUGGGGGGAACCCUGAUGCAGCGACGCCGCGUGGGUGAAGAAGCGCCUCGGCGCGUAAAGCCCUGUCAGCAGGGAAGAAAAUGACGGUACCUGAAGAAGAAGCCCCGGCUAACUACGUGCCAGCAGCCGCGGUAAUACGUAGGUGGCGAGCGUUGUCCGGAAUUACUGGGUGUAAAGGGAGCGUAGGCGGGAGUGCAAGUUGAAUGUAUAAACUAUCGGCUCAACUGAUAGAAGCGUUCAAAACUGCACUUCUUGAGUGAAGUAGAGGCAGGCGGAAUUCCUAGUGUAGCGGUGAAAUGCGUAGAUAUUAGGAGGAACACCAGUGGCGAAGGCGGCCUGCUGGGCUUUAACUGACGCUGAGGCUCGAAAGCGUGGGUAGCAAACAGGAUUAGAUACCCUUGUAGUC